UUUUGUUGUUUGUUGUGAUUUACAUUUCCAAUAAAGCUAAACCCCAGCAGGAUUUUGGCCUGUGUGUGGUGUUUGCAAGCUGGUGAAAGCAGAAUGGGGACUUGCUCCACUAAGCAGAUCUUAAACUCACCGAAAUAUAUCCUUGUGGAAUGGAAAGCUGAGAGCUGUGCAUUGGAUUUGCCAUGCAGAGUAACCAGUGAGCACCUCUUCCCCUGCCCUGGUGUGCUGCCCAAGGGAUGGUCUCGCUCUGCUGAGGACUCCCCUGAGACCUGUUUUUGGCAAAACGCUUUUUUUUGGAUUCCUGAUUUUGGCAAAACGCUUCUUCCCACGAAAACCGACGUCGGGAUGAACUUCAG